ensembl:lncRNA
GGGGCAUUGAGAAAGGCCCGGUCAGCACAGCCACUUGGAGGCAUGGUGCUCAGCAUCAGUGGACCCACUCCGCUGUCUUUCUUGUGCUGGGGGCCCCAGAAGUGGAUGCAGUGCGGCAGGUGGAGUCUUGUGAGAGCAGAGUAGAGGAGCAGAAUCACUUCCCCUGACCUGCUAAUCACGUUUGUCUUAAUGCAGCACAGGAAACGCUUGGCCUUGGGGGCUGCAAGUGCACGGUGCCGGCUCAUGUUGAGCCUUUCAUCAGCCAACACCCGCAGGACACUUUCCUCUUCACAGUCCUCCAGCCACUCAUCCCCAAGCCUAUAGCGCUGCAUGGGCUUGUUGUGGCCAAAGUGCAGGACCCGCCACUUGGCCUUGUUGACCUCUCCAGUUAAUCAGGAGGGCUGGUAGAUGGCCGAGAGCGGCUUGGCAGUCACCUCUGCCAGCUCCCUCAGGAGUCUGUGGAGAGGCUCUUCCUGUCCCCCGUGCUGUGCGCUGUCUUCCUGCACUGCUGGCUCCUGACAUUUUUCACAUGGUGCUGCAUGAGGAUCGUCAUAAGUCUCUCCAUUAAGGUUAUGUAGGCGUCCAUCUGGCAGAGCAGGUCAAGAGCAUUUAGGUUGUCCGUUUCCUCUGUUCCUAAGGAAGCUGGGUCCGCUUGUCCCGUUCUCUGAAAGUGAGAGAGCAUGGGCACAGUGAAAGGGAGGCAGGCUUGUUUUGCAGAGUAUCACCCUGCAGGGCUCCGACUGGUGUGGAGCAUUUCCAGCCUCGCAGGACUGCUCAGGGCAGCCCGUGGGGCUCACACUGCCUGUGGCACACCCUGUGUUGCUCAGGGGCCUCCCACUGUGUGACAGCCCUGUGGCUGGGCAAGUGCCUGGGGAGAGGUAACGGAUCUCUGGGGUCUGAUUUCCUUGGAUGUGUUCAAGUAUAUGGCCUUUAUGGUUCCCUGCUCCCCAGCCACGGUACCCUCCCUGCCCGAUGUAUCUUGAUUGCUCACCUGUCCCCGAGGUCUUCUUAAUCUUCUCCAGUGGGCACGGGCAGUUGUCAGCAGCCAGAGAAUGGAGAAAAUUGUCAAGGGAGCUGUAAGGAGCCAGGUUCUCCCUCUUUGCAUAAGGUAGUCCCAAAGGUGGCCCAGGAUGCCAGGCAAGCUGUAGGCCUUCUGCUUGGUGCCUGGGGACUGCUGCUUUGGGC